GAUGAACGCUAGCUACAGGCUUAACACAUGCAAGUCGAGGGGCAGCAUUUUAGUUUGCUUGCAAACUGAAGAUGGCGACCGGCGCACGGGUGAGUAACACGUAUCCAACCUACCGAUAACUCCGGAAUAGCCUUUCGAAAGAAAGAUUAAUACCGGAUAGCAUACGAAUAUCGCAUGAUAUUUUUAUUAAAGAAUUUCGGUUAUCGAUGGGGAUGCGUUCCAUUAGUUUGUUGGCGGGGUAACGGCCCACCAAGACUACGAUGGAUAGGGGUUCUGAGAGGAAGGUCCCCCACAUUGGAACUGAGACACGGUCCAAACUCCUACGGGAGGCAGCAGUGAGGAAUAUUGGUCAAUGGGCGAGAGCCUGAACCAGCCAAGUAGCGUGAAGGAUGAAGGCUCUAUGGGUCGUAAACUUCUUUUAUAUGGGAAUAAAGUUUUCCACGUGUGGAAUUUUGUAUGUACCAUAUGAAUAAGGAUCGGCUAACUCCGUGCCAGCAGCCGCGGUAAUACGGAGGAUCCGAGCGUUAUCCGGAUUUAUUGGGUUUAAAGGGAGCGUAGGUGGAUUGUUAAGUCAGUUGUGAAAGUUUGCGGCUCAACCGUAAAAUUGCAGUUGAAACUGGCAGUCUUGAGUACAGUAGAGGUGGGCGGAAUUCGUGGUGUAGCGGUGAAAUGCUUAGAUAUCACGAAGAACUCCGAUUGCGAAGGCAGCUCACUAAGACUGUCACUGACACUGAUGCUCGAAAGUGUGGGUAUCAAACAGGAUUAGAUACCCUGGUAGUCCACACAGUAAACGAUGAAUACUCGCUGUUUGCGAUAUACAGUAAGCGGCCAAGCGAAAGCAUUAAGUAUUCCACCUGGGGAGUACGCCGGCAACGGUGAAACUCAAAGGAAUUGACGGGGGCCCGCACAAGCGGAGGAACAUGUGGUUUAAUUCGAUGAUACGCGAGGAACCUUACCCGGGCUUAAAUUGCAACAGAAUAUAUUGGAAACAGUAUAGCCGUAAGGCUGUUGUGAAGGUGCUGCAUGGUUGUCGUCAGCUCGUGCCGUGAGGUGUCGGCUUAAGUGCCAUAACGAGCGCGACCCUUAUCUUUAGUUACUAACAGGUUAUGCUGAGGACUCUAGAGAGACUGCCGUCGUAAGAUGUGAGGAAGGUGGGGAUGACGUCAAAUCAGCACGGCCCUUACGUCCGGGGCUACACACGUGUUACAAUGGGGGGUACAGAAGGCGGCUACCUGGUGACAGGAUGCUAAUCCCAAAAACCUCUCUCAGUUCGGAUCGAAGUCUGCAACCCGACUUCGUGAAGCUGGAUUCGCUAGUAAUCGCGCAUCAGCCAUGGCGCGGUGAAUACGUUCCCGGGCCUUGUACACACCGCCCGUCAAGCCAUGAAAGCCGGGGGUACCUGAAGUACGUAACCGCAAGGAGCGUCUUAGGGUA
rnacentral:rRNA from 1 species